rnacentral:rRNA from 1 species
AUUGAACGCUGGCGGCAUGCCUUACACAUGCAAGUCGAACGGUAACAGGUCUUCGGAUGCUGACGAGUGGCGAACGGGUGAGUAAUACAUCGGAACGUGCCCGAUCGUGGGGGAUAACGGAGCGAAAGCUUUGCUAAUACCGCAUAAGAUCUCUGGAUGAAAGCAGGGGACCGCAAGGCCUUGCGCGAACGGAGCGGCCGAUGGCAGAUUAGGUAGUUGGUGGGAUAAAAGCUUACCAAGCCGACGAUCUGUAGCUGGUCUGAGAGGACGACCAGCCACACUGGGACUGAGACACGGCCCAGACUCCUACGGGAGGCAGCAGUGGGGAAUUUUGGACAAUGGGCGCAAGCCUGAUCCAGCCAUGCCGCGUGCAGGAUGAAGGCCUUCGGGUUGUAAACUGCUUUUGUACGGAACGAAAAGACUCUUUCUAAUAAAGAGGGUCCAUGACGGUACCGUAAGAAUAAGCACCGGCUAACUACGUGCCAGCCGCCGCAGUAAAAC